UGCAAAGUAGGAUUAGGCAGCCUUGCACGCUCUGAGAACAAAGAGAAGCUCUGAUGGCUACAGUAAGCCUAAUACCAAACCUGCUGCAAAAAGGCGUCACCAAGAAAAUAUUUGUGAAACUGAUGACAAAAAUGAUGAAGCCUGGAUGAAGAAAACUCCUUUAACUGAGGCCAACAUAAAGGAAAUGCUCGAUAACUUCAUCUCAUGCAGGCAUACAAGAAGACGGAUAAUAGAGUCCGAUAAUGAAGAGGUAACCGCAACUUACAUCCUUAACAGGUAUUUAAGGCUGAUGGAUCACUUUGAAGCAGUAACAAAGGUAACAUACCUAAAAUUGAUAUUAAUUAGUGGGUGGCAAAAUGUGCCGUAUUUGGCAACGUUAGAAUCAAACAAAGCCCUUUGUUUGAAAGAUUCUGUGUAUGUAAACUCAAAGAAAGAAUCAUGCAUUUCUGACUUAAUUCACGUUGACGCUAAAUAAUUUGUUUAUUUUUCUGCUGAAGAUGUUAGUCUGACAGAUAAGUAAAAAUGAAUAGUGCAGAAUACAAUGUUGGAAGCUUUGUAAUCGUAAAU